rnacentral:rRNA from 1 species
UACGUAGGUGGCAAGCGUUGUCCGGAAUUAUUGGGCGUAAAGGGCGCGUAGGCGGUCCGAUAAGUCGGCUGUGAAAGUCCAGGGCUCAACCCUGGAAAGCCGGCCGAUACUGUCGGACUAGAGUCCGGAAGAGGCAAGUGGAAUUCCAGGUGUAGCGGUGAAAUGCGUAGAUAUCUGGAGGAACACCGGUGGCGAAGGCGGCAUCCUGGACCGGUAUUGACGCUGAUGCGCGAAAGCCAGGGGAGCAAACGGG